AACGAACGCUGGCGGCAUGCCUAACACAUGCAAGUCGAACGAGACCUUCGGGUCUAGUGGCGCACGGGUGCGUAACGCGUGGGAACCUGCCUUUAGGUUCGGAAUAACUCAGAGAAAUUUGAGCUAAUACCGGAUGAUGUCUUCGGACCAAAGAUUUAUCGCCUUUAGAUGGGCCCGCGUUGGAUUAGCUAGUUGGUGGGGUAAAGGCCUACCAAGGCGACGAUCCAUAGCUGGUCUGAGAGGAUGAUCAGCCACACUGGGACUGAGACACGGCCCAGACUCCUACGGGAGGCAGCAGUGGGGAAUAUUGGACAAUGGGCGAAAGCCUGAUCCAGCAAUGCCGCGUGAGUGAUGAAGGCCUUAGGGUUGUAAAGCUCUUUUACACGAGAUGAUAAUGACAGUAUCGGGAGAAUAAGCGCCGGCUAACUCCGUG
rnacentral:rRNA from 1 species